GCUGUUUGAGUUGUAGAUAUAACUUGAGUUGUUAUUUGAGAAGUAGGUGUCGGUGUUCGAGUAGAUGUUAAUGCAGCUGAUAUCAAUGUUGAUGCAGUUGAUCUCGAAGUUGGUGCAGUUGUUGUUCUUGUAGUAGAUGGUGCAGCUGAUGUUGAUGUUGCAGUUUGAGUUGUAGGUGUUGUUGCAGUUGAUUGACUGGUUGAUGUUGCUUGUGUAGAUGUAAAUAAAAUAUUUGAUGCAGUCGCAGUUGAUGAAGAUGCUGGUGCAGUUGUUGAUGAUAGAGGGGUAGAUGUUGGUGCAGUUUGUUUUGAGGAUGUAUCAGUUGUUGUUGACUGAGUGGUAGAUGUUGGUGCAAUUGAUGUCGAUGUUACAGUUGUUGUUGAUUGAUUUGUAGGUGUUGUUGCAGUUGAUUGCCUGGUAGAUGUUGCUUGUGUAGAUGUAGAUAAAAUAUUUGAUGCAGUCGCAGUUGAUGAAGAUGCUGGUGCAGUUGUUGAUGAUAGAGGGGUAGAUGUUGGUGCAGUUUGUGUUGAGGAUGUAUCAGUUGUUGUUGACUGAGUGGUAGAUGUUGGUGCAAUUGAUGUCGAUGUUACAGUUGUUGUUGAUUGAUUUGUAGGUGUCGUUGCAGUUGAUUGACUGGUUGAUGUUGGUUGUGUAGAUGUAGAGAAUAAAAUAUUUGAUGCAGUCGCAGUUGAUGAAGAUGCUGGUGCAGUUGUUGAUGAUAGAGGGGUAGAUGUUGGUGCAGUUUGUGUUGAGGAUGUAUCAGUUGUUGUUGACUGAGUGGUAGAUGUUGGUGCAAUUGAUGUCGAUGUUACAGUUGUUGUUGAUUGAUUUGUAGGUGUUGUUGCAGUUGAUUGACUGGUUGAUGUUGGUUGUGUAGAUGUAGAUAAUAAAAUAUUUGAUGCAGUUGAUGAAGAUGCUGGUGCAGUUGAUGAUAGAGGGGUAGAUAUUGGUGCAGUUUGUGUUGAGGAUGUAUCAGUUGUUGUUGACUGAGUGGUAGAUGUUGGUGCAAUUGAUGUCGAUGUAACAGUUGUUGUUGAUUGAUUUGUAGGUGUUGUUGCAGUUGAUUGACUGGUUGAUGUUGCUUGUGUAGAUGUAGAUAAAAUAUUUGAUGCAGUCGCAGUUGAUGAAGAUGCUGGUGCAGUUGUUGUUGAUGAUAGAGGGGUAGAUGUUGGUGCAGUUAGUGUUGAGGAUGUAUCAGUUGUUGUUGACUGAGUGGUAGAUGUUGGUGCAAUUGAUGUCGAUGUUACAGUUGUUGUUGAUUGAUUUGUAGGUGUUGUUGAAGUUGAUUGACUGGUUGAUGUUGGUUGUGUAGAUGUAGAUAAUAAAAUAUUUGAUGCAGUCGCAGUUGAUGAAGAUGCUGGUGCAGUUGUUGUUGAUGAUAGAGGGGUAGAUGUUGGUGCAGUUUGUGUUGAGGAUGUAUCAGUUGUUGUUGACUGAGUGGUAGAUGUUGGUGCAAUUGAUGUCGAUGUUACAGUUGUUGUUGAUUGAUCUGUAGGUGUCGUUGCAGUUGAUUGACUGGUUGAUGUUGGUUGUGUAGAUGUAGAUAAUAAAAUAUUUGAUGCAGUCGCAGUUGAUGAAGAUGCUGGUGCAGUUGUUGUUGAUGAUAGAGGGGUAGAUGUUGGUGCAGUUUGUGUUGAGGAUGUAUCAGUUGUUGUUGACUGAGUGGUAGAUGUUGGUGCUAUUGAUGUCGAUGUUACAGUUGUUGUUGAUUGAUUUGUAGGUGUUGUUGAUUGAGGUGUAGAUGUUAGUGUUGUUGAUUCAGAUAUUGAUUCAGUGGUUGGUGAGUGAGAUGUAGAUGUUGUUUCAGAUGUAGAUGUUUCUGUAGCUGAUGUAGAUGUUGGUUCAGUGGUUGUUGUUUCAGAUGUAGGUGUUUCUGUAGCUGAUGUAGAUGUUGGUUCAGUGGUAGUUGUUGAUUCAGAUGUAGAUGCUUGAGCAGGUGUUGUUAUUUGUGGUGUAGAUGUUGGUGUUGAUUCAGAUGUUGAUUCAGUGGUUGGUGAGUGAGGUGUAGAUGUUGUUGUUGAUUCAGAUGUAGAUGUUUCUGUAAUCGAUGUAGAUGUUGGUUCAGUGGUUGUUGAUUCAGAUGUAGAUGCUUGAGCAGGUGUUGUUGAUUGAGGUGUAGAUGUUAGUGUUAUUGAUUCAGAUGUUGAUUCAGUGGUUGGUGAGUGAGGUGUAGAUGUUGUUGAUUCAGAUGUAGAUGUUUCUGUAGUCGAUGUAGAUGUUGGUUCAGUGGUUGUAGAUGUAGAUGUUGUUGUUUCAGAUGUAGAUGUUUCUGCAGCUAAUGUAGAUGUGGUAGUUGUUGAUUCAGCUGUAGAUGUUUCAGGAGGUAUAGAUGUUUCUGUAGUCGAUGUAGAUGUGGUAGUUGUUGAUUCAGCUGUAGAUGUUUCAGCAGGUGUAGAUGUUUCUGUAGUUGAUGUAGAUGUUGGUUCAGUGGUUGUUGUUGAUUCAGAUGUAGAUGUUAGUGUUGUUGAUUCAGAUGUUGAUUCAGUGGUUGGUGAGUGAGAUGUAGAUGUUGUUGUUUCAGAUGUAGAUGUUUCUGCAGCUAAUGUAGAUGUGGUAGUUGUUGAUUCAGCUGUAGAUGUUUCAGGAGGUAUAGAUGUUUCUGUAGUCGAUGUAGAUGUGGUAGUUGUUGACUCAGCUGUAGAUGUUUCAGCAGGUGUAGAUGUUUCUGUAGUCGAUGUAGAUGUUGGUUCAGUGGUUGUUGUUGAUUCAGCUGUAGAUGUUUCAGCAGGUGUAGAUGUUUCUGUAGUUGAUGUAGAUGUUGGUUCAGUGGUUGUUGUUGAUUCAGCUGUAGAUGUUUCAGCAGGUGUAGAUGUUUCUGUAGUUGAUGUAGAUGUUGGUUCAGUGGUUGUUGUUGAUUCAGCUGUAGAUGUUUCAGCAGGUGUUGUUGAUUGAGGUGUAGUUAUUGGUAUUGAUUCAGAUGUUGAUUCAGUGGUUUGUGCAGCUGGUGAUGUAAAAGAAAAUGAAAUAGCAAAACUUGAAUAAAUGAGAUAGAACAAAAAGCAUUAAUAGAUUGCAGGCAACAGUGACCUAUAGUGUAAAAAAAAAAAAAACUGCAUCAGGGAAAUUAAUGUUAAUUUCGAAGUGAGUGAUCAAGUUUUGUUUGUUUUAGU
ensembl:lncRNA